UGAUGGCACAGCACUUUGGACAGUGUGGAUGGCACAGCACUUUGGGCAGUGUGGCCAGGUAGCCAUUGUUUUACUCAUAUUUUAAGAGAAAGCACCAGCCAGACUUUUCCUCUAGAAGCAGUCAUGCAGCUCAGAUGCUAAAAUUAAUCCCUUAACUAAUGAUCCAUAUGAAGUCAUUCUUUUGGUACUGAUGUUAUUGGUCCUGUUCUGGUGACAAAUGCAUUUGCUUUGAAUAAAAUGACUCAACUAAUUUCAUACUCAGAAUCAGAAGCUGAGCUCUCCAUGCCCCCUGAAAUGCUGGAGCUGUCAUGAUGAGUCUCAAAGAACCCCAGGAAGGAGGAAGAGAGAACUUCUAAAUAAUUCAGCACAACACUUCCAUCCUCUUCUUGGGAAUGGUCUUUUCUGUGCGUUACAGUCCUAUUGAAGGGCUGUGUAAGAAUCUACUGAAGACUUUUCAGCUAUGACCUUGUGGCCCUCAAGUGGGUGUUCAAGUUUCUCAAGAAUCCUCAAACAUCCAGAGUAAGAGCUACGAAUGGAAAUGCAAGGCUGCUGAAAAGGAGAGAAAACCAACAUUAAAACAUCCGAGAGAGAAUGAAGGAAGCUGAGUCUGGAGACUGUCUUUCCUGCUGACGGUGAAUGAAGACUGCAAUAUUCUCUGCUGCAAGUCCAUCUGCUCUUGAACCUCUCUUAAAAAGAUCUAUCUAACAAUAUUCUUCCUUUGGAGUUUCCAGUGCUGCUUAUGAAGACUUGAAAGCAGACUAUUCACAUGCUACAGAUAUGAGAAGUGAAUCAUCAAGAAUCUGCUCUACUCUGCCUCCAGCCUUGGUAAGGUAGGGCAUUAUAGGAAGAGAGAUUUCGGUUUCUGGAAGACAAGUAAUGAUGUGGAAGGAGGAGGAAGACAAACUUGGUCAUCUAAGAAUGCAAGUUCCCAAGUGAAACUCCAGAAAGACAAGAGAGAGGUAAAGGUGUAUUAUAUGUAGAAGAUUAGAGUUAAAAGUGUCUGGUUUAUGGGAAUAAGAAUUACUUCCUUCCAGGGAUGGUUAUGCAUGUACAUGUAGUACAAUGUCCCAAUGCAUCUGAAUUCACUCUAGACUGCAAAUGGGCCCAAAGGUGAUAUUUGGGGGGAAAAAAAAAAAAGAAGAAGAAGAAGAAGAAGAAGAAGAAGAAGAAGAAAAGUAAGAAAGGAAUUCACUGUUUUGCAAAGCAUUACAAUGCUCAGCUGCUGCCAAGGAGUUCUCAGUGUAGCUAAAAUAGUGGUAGGCAAAAUACCCCUGCCAUCCAGCUGCUGGCACGCAGCACAGCAAACC
ensembl:lncRNA